CCCUUAGAUGUCCUGGGCCGCACGCGCGCUACACUGAGUGUCUGAGAUACGAGUCUGCCUGGUCCGGCAAGGUCUAGGUAAUCGCUAAAAGACACAUCAUGCUUGGGAUAGAUUAUUGCAAAUAUUAAUCUUGAACGAGGAAUUCCUAGUAAGCGCAAGUCAACAGCUUGCGUUGAUUACGUCCCUGCCCUUUGUACACACCGCCCGUCGCUACUACUGAUUGGAUGUUUAAGCGAGGUUCUCGAACUGCUAGCGACUUAGCUUCGGUGAGGUCGCAGUGUGGGAAGUGAACCUAGCUUUGUUGUCUAGAGGAAGUAAAAGUCGUAACA
rnacentral:rRNA from 1 species